UCCAUUCUGAGGACAUUGUUGGAAACCAGUGAGAAGCCUUAUCAGUCUCCCAUGCCAACCUCCUCAAAGGCUUAGGCAUUACCUCCCCUCUAAACUUGUGAAACUUCUCCCUCAAGGUUGCAAACCUUCUCAUCAAGUAUGUUCUGAUCCAGUCCAUCAUGGUCAGAAUUGGCUUGUCCCUUGCCAAUAGAAUUGUGGAGUUGAAUGACUUUGACAAGUUGUUCAUGAGCACAUCACACUUGGGGUAGAAGGUGAAGUCAUGCUUACACCAAGACCUGGUAGGUAUUCCCAUCAUCCACUCCCAUGCUGCAUUAUUUUGUACCCUCAGCUCCAACAUUUUCUCUUCCUACUGCUGGCGAUAAGUAGCCUUGGCUGCUGCCAUCAUAAGGUUUCUAAUUACAACCCCACCUCCAAACCUCUUCUUGAAAUUUGCAUAAAGAUGCCUCAGACAGA
rnacentral:lncRNA from 1 species